GACGAACGCUGGCGGCGUGCCUAAUACAUGCAAGUAGAACGCUGAAGAGAGGAGCUUACUCUUCUUGGAUGAGUUGCGAACGGGUGAGUAACGCGUAGGUAACCUUCCUUGUAGCGGGGGAUAACUAUUGGAAACGAUAGCUAAUACCGCAUAACAAUGGAUGACACAUGUCAUUUAUUUGAAAGGGGCAAUUGCUCCACUACAAGAUGGACCUGCGUUGUAUUAGCUAGUAGGUGAGGUAAUGGCUCACCUAGGCGACGAUACAUAGCCGGCCUGAGAGGGUGAACGGCCACACUGGGACUGAGACACGGCCCAGACUCCUACGGGAGGCAGCAGUAGGGAAUCUUCGGCAAUGGGGGCAAGCCUGACCGAGCAACGCCGCGUGAGUGAAGAAGGUUUUCGGAUCGUAAAGCUCUGUUGUUAGUGAAGAACGGGUAUGAGGGGAGAAAGGUCACGCUGUGACGGUAGCAAACCAGAAAGGGACGGCUAACUACGUG
rnacentral:rRNA from 1 species